rnacentral:lncRNA from 1 species
GACUCUGUUGUAUGUUCGAGCGUGUGGUGUGUUCAGGUAUAUUUCCGCUAGCUUCAGUUGCAGAUUUGGAAAGUUUAUUUUUCUCCUUAAUUGGUUAGUUGUAUUGUUUUGUAUGAUGGUUUAAAUAUCCAUGUUGAAUCAUUAAUGUUAAUGUUAGAAAGUUAUGUUCUCACUCUAAUUCUUUUUAAUUCUCUCAUUUUUAAAUUUUCUCUACUAUUCACCAUUAUUCUUGUCACUGAAGUUU